rnacentral:rRNA from 1 species
UGGGGGACAACGUUUCGAAAGGAACGCUAAUACCGCAUACGUCCUACGGGAGAAAGCAGGGGACCUUCGGGCCUUGCGCUAUCAGAUGAGCCUAGGUCGGAUUAGCUAGUUGGUGGGGUAAUGGCUCACCAAGGCGACGAUCCGUAACUGGUCUGAGAGGAUGAUCAGUCACACUGGAACUGAGACACGGUCCAGACUCCUACGGGAGGCAGCAGUGGGGAAUAUUGGACAAUGGGCGAAAGCCUGAUCCAGCCAUGCCGCGUGUGUGAAGAAGGUCUUCGGAUUGUAAAGCACUUUAAGUUGGGAGGAAGGGCAGUAAGCUAAUACCUUGCUGUUUUGACGUUACCGACAGAAUAAGCACCGGCUAACUCUGUGCCAGCAGCCGCGGUAAUACAGAGGGUGCAAGCGUUAAUCGGAAUUACUGGGCGUAAAGCGCGCGUAGGUGGUUCGUUAAGUUGGAUGUGAAAGCCCCGGGCUCAACCUGGGAACUGCAUCCAAAACUGGCGAGCUAGAGUACGGUAGAGGGUGGUGGAAUUUCCUGUGUAGCGGUGAAAUGCGUA